rnacentral:rRNA from 1 species
UUCCUACGGGGCGCAGCAGUGAGGAAUAUUGGUCAAUGGCCGAGAGGCUGAACCAGCCAAGUCGCGUGAGGGAAGACGGCCCUACGGGUUGUAAACCUCUUUUGUCGGGGAGCAAAGCGAGUCACGUGUGACUCAUUGAGAGUACCCGAAGAAAAAGCAUCGGCUAACUCCGUGCCAGCAGCCGCGGUAAUACGGAGGAUGCAAGCGUUAUCCGGAUUUAUUGGGUUUAAAGGGUGCGCAGGCGGCGAGUUAAGUCAGCGGUAAAAUUUCGGGGCUCAACCCCGACGAGCCGUUGAAACUGGCUU